AUUUUAAAGUGUCAUAAUACAUUAAUUAUUCUAAAAAUUAUUAUAUGCUUUGUUUUAGGUGAGGUAUUCUAAGCAUUGUCUGGUCGAUAUAUAGAGGCAGGAACCACCCCGCUGUGUGAAAAUGUCGUCAAUGCCCACAGUAACUGACCAUAGAGGUAUGCGAUAAUUCAUGGGGAUCAUGGAUCGAUUUGUUAGUGAAAGAUACCGCAGACGUCGAGAUGCCCGUAUUAGUUUUUAUGAUGAGAUGAUUCAUAUACGACUAGAAGUAAUAGCGCAUCUAGAAAGUGGUGGAAGUCCACAACUUGGUGAACUAGUAUUUCUCGACGAGGAUAUUGAAAUCACAUCGGAUCCAGAUUUGGAAACCAUUUUAACCGAUGAUGAACGUGAUGUCAAUGAACCGGAGGUAGAAGAACUUCAGCAGAAUAAUCUUAUUACCGCCAAUAAAGUCGACAAAGCAGAGGAAUGCGCCAUCUGUCUUAUGCCCGCCGAGCUUCCCGUCCGAAUGCCUUGCAGCCACGAAUUUUGUUUCACCUGUGCUAAAGGCCUGAUGAAGGAUCAAAAAAGGUCCUGCGCUUUGUGCAGAAAACCUAUUCCUCCAAAUUUUAUCACGAAUCCAGAAACGUUCGCCACUGGAGCCGUUGAAGCGCCAAUGGGCAAGCACUCUUGGUUCUACAAAAGUCGAUCUGGCUGGUGGGCAUACGCGCCAAGGAUGCAGAUUGAUAUUGAGAACGAGUUUCUAAGUGGAAAAUCAACAUUUGAAUGCAUUCUCAACGGCCAGAAGUACAUUUUGGAUUUUGUAAAAUCCAUUCAGACAUUUGGAAUGCAGAAGACCCAACAUAUCAAGAGAAGUUUGAGCAAGAGCAGUCAUAUAGGAGUGGCUGGUCUCAGAUACACUGUGCCUUCUUAACGCACAGUAAUUUUCUGAUAUUGUUUCGAAAAUUGUACAUUGUUUUA